ACAAGAGGCUAACCUUGCUUGACCAGGCCUGUCUGAAUGGGAGACCCUUCCUAACAGGGGCGGGGCACUGCUAGUGGUCAUGGAGCCAUUCCCCCCCACCCCAACUUACAGCCUGAGAAAACCGAGUUAUUCAAGGUCAUAGUUUUAAGUGUGGCUUCUAGGAUGGGCAGAAGGAAGCAGGAGAGCCCCUCCCCCUGCUGCUCCAGGUCCAUCCUGGGCUCUUCUUUUCAUGCAGGAAGCUGUCACAUUGGAAAGCAUUAACAAGGCAAGCCUGACCUACAGCCAAGCUUCGAUUUCUCAUCCCUGGGGGACUGACCCCACCAUAGUGGGAAGAGGAGGAUGUUGAGCCCAAAUCUGAUCCACGUGUGAGCCAGCUGAACUCGGGAGCUGUUCCCAGGGAAGUGACGUUCGACAGCCGCCACCACCCCCCACCCCCAGCCUUGGGCCUCCCUAUUUGACACACUCAACUGGGGGCAACAGAACAAAUUCCAAGACAAAAGUUUCGAGAGCGAUGAUUCAGAGGCUCGCAGAGGACAUUUAUGGGAAGAACGUUCUGGGAGCUCUGGCCUUAGGUGUCAUGCCCAUUUGGGGCCAGCCAACAUCUGCUCCUGGGGAGAGACUUACGGAAACACCAGGUACACAUGGCAUAACUCCCUAAGCCAACACCCAUGGCAGACAUUACUAAUCGAUCCUGGGAUUCUCUGACUACCCAAUCUACAUGCCCCUGCUGCGUCUGGUCCAUAUGGUAGCUGGAGCUAUGGUAAACACAGUUUUAAAAAACUAGGUUCUGGUAAGAGGAAGGAGAGGAACGUCUGUUUGUCCUGGUUGGGAUCUCAGCUGUUCGGAAAGCAGUGUAUCCCUAGAGGUGAAGAAAUGUUCUUUGCAGGGAAAUAGUAAAAGAAACCGUAGGGGAGGGAACCGACCAUAAACAUCUGUGGCUCCUAUUCGGGUGGUGAGUGAACUGUUCCCGUGGUAGGUCCCAGCACCCAGGUUCGUUGGGUUGAAGGUACCCAUCUUCUCUUGCCAGCUGGCCCAUGUCCUCAGGGGUAGUGUCUGAUCUCCUAUGCCUUUGUGGCCCCUACAUCUUCCACGCGGGGCUGGGCUCACACGCACCGCCCCUAAAAUGUUCCCUUGAUCUGACCUGGCUUCACCUGAGGCUGUACCAUCUGCUAGAAGGGGGCCACAUAAGCCAGCUGGCUGCCUCCCACCUCCGUGCCGGGCUCUUCAUCUGGGAUCCCUCCCUCUGUUGCUGGGAGUGCAGGGGAGGGCAAGAACCCCCUGAGCUUGUAUGGAAAUUGCUGUGUGAGUGCUGAGUCCCUCCACACCCCUGACAGCCCAUGCCUAUGAAUGACACACACAGUUUAAUACAACUUGAAAGGCAUCUCGUCCAUCCCUCCCUGCUCCAUCUCUGACCCUCCCUCCAAACCUGACCUAGUAUGUCAGUCCCUUGGGAGGGGAGGGGCAAUCUUACAUGGGGGCUCCUACCCCCAGCAGAGCAGUUAGCCUGCCUUGAGGGCGGUUUUGCACCUGUCCCCCUCACUAGAGGGUGAAUUCCCAAAGUGUGGUCCCUCCCAGGGGGACCAGCACAGGGCCCGGCUCUCACGGACCUG